GCAGAAACAUGCACAGACACCUCCACAUGUGAUACCACUGUCACAACAUGCGGAGGCACGGCAGCCCUUGCUUGCGUAAAUCGUGUAUGUACCUGUUCGAAUGGCGAUGGCACUGGAGCUCUAAACUGCACGAUGAAUGCUGACUGUCAUCACCAACACCUUCACCACUGCAACAAAGGUCACUGGAUGUGUCAAGCUGGCCAUUGUCAUUGCGGCCAGGCACCGUGAGAAUUGCUCCGCUGUUAAUUGUACACUACACACAAUAAAACUAAUCGCAA